rnacentral:tRNA from 1 species
GCCUGGAUGGCUCCAUCGGUUGAGUGUCCGACUUCAGCUCAGGUCAUGAUCUCACGGUUCGUGGGUUCGAGCCCCACGUCGGGCU